rnacentral:rRNA from 1 species
GCCAUGCGAGUCGAGAGGGUUCGGCCCUCGGCAGACUGCUCAGUAACACGUGGAUAAUCUGCCCUUAGGUGGAGGAUAACCUUGGGAAACUGAGAAUAAUACUCCAUAGAUCUAAGAUGCUGGAAUGCAUUUAGAUUGAAAGCUCCGGCGCCUAAGGAUGAGUCUGCGGACUAUCAGGUUGUAGUCAGGGUAAGGACCUGACUAGCCUACAACGGAUACGGGUUGUGAGAGCAAUAACCCGGAGACGAUAUCUGAGACACGAUAUCGGGCCCUACGGGGCGCAGCAGGCGCGAAACCUUCACAAUGUGCGAAAGCGCGAUGAGGGGAUCCCAAGUGCUUGCACUUAAGUGUAAGCUGUUUCUUUGUUUAAAAUGCAGAGAGAGGAAGGGCUGGGUAAGACGGGUGCCAGCCGCCGCGGUAAUACCUGCAGCUCAAGUGGUGACCGCUAUUAUUGGGCCUAAAACGUUCGUAGCCGGCUGAGUAAAUGCUUGGGUAAAUCGUGCCGCUUAACGGUACGAAUUCCGGGUAGACUGCUCAGCUUGAGACCGGGAGAAGCUAGAGGUACUCCUGGGGUAGAGGUGAAAUUCUGUAAUCCUGGGGGGACCACCAGUGGCGAAGGCGUCUAGCUAGAACGGGUCUGACGGUGAGGGACGAAACCCUGGGGCGCAAACCGGAUUAGAUACCCGGGUAGUCCAGGCGCAAACGCUGCUUGCUUGAUGUUAGCUGGGCUCCGGGCUCAGCUAGUGUCGGAGAGAGUGUAAGCAAGCUGCCUGGGAAGUACGAUCGCAGAUUGAAACUUAA